GACGAACGCUGGCGGCGUGCUUAACACAUGCAAGUCGAACGGAAAGGCCCUGCUUUUGUGGGGUGCUCGAGUGGCGAACGGGUGAGUAACACGUGAGUCACCUGCCCUUGACUUUGGGAUAACUUCAGGCAACUGGGGCUACUACCGGAUAGGAGCUCCUGCUGCAUGGUGGGGGUUGGACAGUUUCGGCGGUUGGGGAUGGACUCGCGGCUUAUCAGCUUGUUGGUGGGGUAGUGGCUUACCAAGGCUUUGACGGGUAGCCGGCCUGAGAGGGUGACCGGCCACAUUGGGACUGAGAUACGGCCCAGACUCCUACGGGAGGCAGCAGUGGGGAAUAUUGCACAAUGGGCGGAAGCCUGAUGCAGCAACGCCGCGUGCGGGAUGACGGCCUUCGGGUUGUAAACCGCUUUCGCCUGUGACGAAGCGUGAGUGACGGUAAUGGGUAAAGAAGCACCGGCUAACUACGUG
rnacentral:rRNA from 1 species